ensembl:snRNA U1 U1 spliceosomal RNA
AUUUUUAGCUGGGAGGACAGACACCCUGAUCCAAGGUAGUUUUUCCAAGGUAAGGAUUGUCCUUUACACCUUGGCUUUGCUAACACCUACAGCAUCCUACAUGUGGGAAACCCAGAUUCAGAAUUUGUGGUAGUGAGAGAAGGGUGGUGCUCAUGCUUCUUA